UCGCCUUCAAACACCAACAUAUGACCAUGUCCCUGUUGCGUCUGAGCCGUCAUGGAUCGACCAUCCAAAUCACAAACACAGCAUCCAAAAAAAAGUGGACUUGUAUGCCGGUUGGAAAGCUACAUCCACAUUGCACUUAAAUCCACAUGCUGGUAUUUCCCAUGCUACGUUGCGCUGCUCGCUAGUUAACCCUCCCAUUGAGUGGAAUGUUGGUCUGAACCCUCACAUCAUUUCAUUCCACUGCUUCCACCCAUCUAACGCUUUACGCCCCACAGAUACAGUUUGUUGACGAAUAUCGUUACACACUGCAUCAUUUCUUGCUGCCCAUAACUUCCAAAGAAGCAUUAUGUAGCAUUAGACAAAGGAAAGAGGAAUGCAAUUUGCAAAACAAUAGUCGCGCAUAUGACAAUCAAUGUAGUUGUGCAAAAUUAAGUUCUUUGGCGUUUGAAGAAGAGUUUUCCAUGUCACACUUAUCUACUAUUUGAAGUGCUUUUUACCCAAACUUGCGUUAACCUUGAAGCUAGUAAUGUAGCUUAUGCGUCAUAAUGAAUUGAUUUUAGAUUUAUUGAUGGCUUAUACUUUUUUAUCGUUCUCUUUGAUACCACUACGAUUUACAAAAAAGUUUGUGAUUCUUUGGAAGAAAAUACUCCCUCCGUCCCAAACUGUAUGAUGUUUUAGACAUUUCACUUGUAUUAAGAAAUGUAAUUAAUAUUGUGUGGGAAAUAGAUAUUAUGAGUUGUUUUACAAAAUUAUCCUCAAUAAACGAUAUGAGAAAGAUAAAUAAAGGAAUUGAAAAAAGAAAGAGUAAUAAAUAGUUAAGAAUAUAAUAGGAAAAAUAACAUUAAUAUUUCAUUGGUAUUGUAAAGUGACAUACAAUUUAGGACAAUUUUUUUUUCUCUCUAAAAUGACAUACAAUUUGGGAUGGAGGGAGUAAUACGUUAAUGUUUGUAUUUAUGGUCUUUUAUUUUUUAAAAAUGUUAAUCGGUGUCCAAGAGGUAUUAGUUAAUGAAUUAAGAAGAAGAGUGUUCCUAGCAAGAGAGUGUUCAUAGUAUUUCUCAUGAAUUAAAUAUACUUCCUUCAUCCCUAUAUGUUAAUCAGUGCACCGAUGAAAAGUCAAAUUUUGUAUUGAAAAAAACACUUUUUUAACUUUUUAAAAGUAUAAUUUACAAUUUCCGAGACAAUAUUUCCUUUUAUAAUCCCUUAAUCAGUGUCUCGGUUAACAUUUCCCUUACUUUUUUCACAUUUCUUAAGAAAAGUUGUUAGUGUAAUUAAUGUGUCUAUUUUGUGUGUUAAUAUUAUCAAAUUGUCAUUUGUUUGUAUGUGUAUUAAAUUUGUCUUUGCAUAUUUCAAAACAAGUAAUUUAAUGGCGUAUUGUAUUGUUUAAUGGCGCAUAUUAUUUAAUCCGUUUAAAUUUUUAAUGUGUAUUAAUUUUACUUGUGAUAUACUCCAUCCGUUUUUAAAAUCCGUUUCUACGACAAUUGUAUUGUUUGUAACUUGUGAUAUAUUAUUAUCUCACAAGUAAUUUGUAUGUAGGGAUGUUAUUGUCGUUUGCAAAAUAAUAUUAAUUUUUUCUUCUAUCAUUCUAUCUGUUUCUCUUCUCUUUUUCGUACUAAACCACCUCCCAAAUUUACUCUAUUUUUCUUUAGAAAAUGCUAACCAUUGCUCUUGGGGCAUUGGAUAAAGGAACAUCAAUAAAAAUUUUGUGUUGGAAAAUAAUAAAAAAUUGUCAAGUUAAUUUGUAAAAAAUUUAUAAAUUGUUGUUUCCAAUGUAAAACUAAUAAUUUUGGUUACACGUCAAUGGUUAGCAAGACCCUUUCUCUUUUAUAUCUCUCUUCUUAUUAUUUCUCACAUUUUUCUCUCUUCUUAAUUUCUCUUCACAACCAAACAAAGCCUUAACAAUGUGAUCAUAAUCCUCGUCUAAACAAAAAAAAUAAAAUCAUCCACCUAACCCUUUAAAAGAUAUUCACAUACUCCCUCCGACCUACAUACCAAUGCAUAUUUUUUUAUCUUGAAUAUCUUUAAUUAUCUAUUUGAAAAAAUUAUGAAAAAUUAAUAUUUUAAAAAUAUUAAUCGAGACAAAUUCAAUAUAUUAUAUGAUAUUAUUUAUCUUUAUAUAUUAAUAAAAAAAAUAUGGUCAAAGUAUAAUCAAAUCAACAGUAUACAUCAUCAAACAUAUCAUCUAAUAUGAGACGGAGUAAGUAUUUUUUAGAGGGAAAAAAAAUUCUAAAUCAAUGGCUUUUAAAUCUACCAUAGACAUUUGUUAGUAUGACUUCUAAAAAAAUAAAAAAAAUAUUUUAAUCGUGUAGUCUGCACUCUGGACAGGUUGGAAUUGGGCAUUAUUGAUUGGAGUCAAAAUGAUGACGAACAUUAUAACCAGUCUCACGCAUCCAAGUGUAGCUCAACCUAGUUACGUCAUUACUGUAACGUCACUACUCACCAAUAGCUUGACACCGUCUUCAUUCAUGUACGCGCUCACCUCACUCGUCUUUCUAUAUAUAAUAAUAUAAUCACACUACAGACCUUAAUAAACACGACACGGCAUUACGCAACGUCAAUACCUAACACAGACAUUGAUCAAGCACUAUUUUUUUCUUUUUCAUAUAUGGAAAAAAAGAAGAAUGAAGUAAGGAAUGACCUCAACGACAAGCAGGAAGAAGAAGAAGAAGAGAUGGAAAUAGAGAAGUUUUGCUCGCUGCUAAGAAGCUUCCGUGACGCCCGUGAUCGAUUGCGCCGGAGGGAAUCAGAAUUACAUGAUCAGCUGGAAAAAUACGAGAGCAACAAGAAAAAGAUGAAAACAGAGCCGCCUUGUUUUCAAUUGCAGGACUUUACUACAGAUAUUCAAUUCAGAAAACUACCUUUGAAUUUUCUCAACCCAGUUGCAAAUUACACAAUCGUAGAUAAUAACAAAGUUGAGAAGAAGGAACAUACCCUUGACCUCAAACUUGCUCUUUAAUCUUGCAUUCAUCAUUCAUGAUCGUCUUGUUUUAAUUAAUUACGUUAUUUAUGCUUUUUCUGUCUACCUAGCUAUUCCUUGUACAUAUAAUAUAAUAUAAUAUUCAUGUAUUGAAGAAAUCAUAUAUAUCUUCAUCUAUCAUCUAUGUUAUGUAAUUUCUUAAUUUGUAAGUUUUUUUUUUUUCAAGUAUAUGGUACGAAUGUGAAAUUAAGAGAUUUUCAAACACAGAAAUUAAGAAUAUCGUCAGAUUGAAGCAAGAGGGGCAGAGCCGAAGGAUUCAGAGUCAAACAAUGGAAAACUGAGUUGUAGUUGGUUAGUUACUUGUGACAUAGGCGAAUCUGUAUGGACCUUUGUCAUAUUUAUUACGACAAACCUAUGAAACCCGGAUAUAAGUACAGAUGCGAGUACGAUACGGAUAUGCCAAUAGGCAAAUUUUUUUAAAUUUAGGAUACGUUAACAAAAAUUCUAUAAUAAAACUUAAAUAUAUGUAAAAUACUUGAAGAAAAUAAACAUUGAUUACUCUUCAUAAUUAUCUUAUUAUAAAUGUCACAAUUUUAAAAAAUAAUAAAU
rnacentral:lncRNA from 1 species